UGCAUUCGAAACUGGCAGGCUAGAGUCUUGUAGAGGGGGGUAGAAUUCCAGGUGUAGCGGUGAAAUGCGUAGAGAUCUGGAGGAAUACCGGUGGCGAAGGCGGCCCCCUGGACAAAGACUGACGCUCAGGUGCGAAAGCGUGGGGAGCAAACAGGAUUAGAUACCCUGGUAGUCCACGCCGUAAACGAUGUCGAUUUGGAGGUUGUGCCCUUGAGGCGUGGCUUCCGGAGCUAACGCGUUAAAUCGACCGCCUGGGGAGUACGGCCGCAAGGUUAAAACUCAAAUGAAUUGACGGGGGCCCGCACAAGCGGUGGAGCAUGUGGUUUAAUUCGAUGCAACGCGAAGAACCUUACCUGGUCUUGACAUCCACAGAACUUAGCAGAGAUGCUUUGGUGCCUUCGGGAACUGUGAGACAGGUGCUGCAUGGCUGUCGUCAGCUCGUGUUGUGAAAUGUUGGGUUAAGUCCCGCAACGAGCGCAACCCUUAUCCUUUGUUGCCAGCGGUCCGGCCGGGAACUCAAAGGAGACUGCCAGUGAUAAACUGGAGGAAGGUGGGGAUGACGUCAAGUCAUCAUGGCCCUUACGACCAGGGCUACACACGUGCUACAAUGGCAUAUACAAAGAGAAGCGACCUCGCGAGAGCAAGCGGACCUCAUAAAGUAUGUCGUAGUCCGGAUUGGAGUCUGCAACUCGACUCCAUGAAGUCGGAAUCGCUAGUAAUCGUAGAUCAGAAUGCUACGGUGAAUACGUUCCCGGGCCUUGUACACACCGCCCGUCACACCAUGGGAGUGGGUUGCAAAAGAAGUAGGUAGCUUAACCUUCGGGAGGGCGCUUACCACUUUGUGAUUCAUGACUGGGGUGAAGUCGUAACAAGGUAACCGUAGGGGAACCUGCGGUUGGAUCACCUCCUUACCUUAAAGAA
rnacentral:rRNA from 1 species